UAGGGAAUCUUCGGCAAUGGGGGCAACCCUGACCGAGCAACGCCGCGUGAGUGAAGAAGGUUUUCGGAUCGUAAAGCUCUGUUGUAAGUCAAGAACGAGUGUGAGAGUGGAAAGUUCACACUGUGACGGUAGCUAACCAGAAAGUCACGGCUAACUACGUGCCAGCAGCCGCGGUAAUACGUAGGUGGCAAGCGUUAUCCGGAUUUAUUGGGCGUAAAGAGAGUGCAGGCGGUUUUCUAAGUCUGAUGUGAAAGCCUUCGGCUUAACCGGAGAAGUGCAUCGGAAACUGGAUAACUUGAGUGCAGAAGAGGGUAGUGGAACUCCAUGUGUAGCGGUGGAAUGCGUAGAUAUAUGGAAGAACACCAGUGGCGAAGGCGGCUACCUGGUCUGCAACUGACGCUGAGACUCGAAAGCAUGGGUAGCGAACAGGAUUAGAUACCCUGGUAGUCCAUGCCGUAAACGAUGAGUGCUAGGUGUUGGAGGGUUUCCGCCCUUCAGUGCCGGAGCUAACGCAUUAAGCACUCCGCCUGGGGAGUACGACCGCAAGGUU
rnacentral:rRNA from 1 species